rnacentral:rRNA from 1 species
CAAUAGCGUAUAUUAAAGUUGUUGCAGUUAAAAAGCUCGUAGUUGGAUCUUGGACCUGGACAGGCGGUCCGCCUCACGGCGAGUACUGUCUUGCUGGGUCUUUCCUCUUGGUGAUCUGUUGUUUCGGCAGCAGGGAACCAGGACCUUUACUUUGAAAAAAUUAGAGUGUUCAAAGCAGGCUCGACGCCGGAAUAUAUUAGCAUGGAAUAAUAAAAUAGGACGUGCGGUUCUAUUUUGUUGGUUUUUGGAAUCGCCGUAAUGAUUAAUAGGGACAGUCGGGGGCAUUAGUACUCACAUGCUAGAGGUGAAAUUCUUGGAUUUUGUGAAGACUAACUUCUGCGAAAGCAUUUGCCAAGGAUGUUUUCAUUAA